rnacentral:rRNA from 1 species
CGUGUAGGCGGAUGUGUAAGUCUAUUCUGAAAGCUCCUGGCUAAACUGGGAGAGGCGAAUGGAGACUGCAAGUCUAGAGUGAGGAAGAGGAAAGUGGAAUUCCGCGUGUAGUGGUGAAAUGCGUAGAGAUGCGGAGGAACACCAGUGGCGAAAGCGACUUUCUGGUCCUUAACUGACGCUGAGGCGCGAAAGCAUGGGGAGCGAACGGGAUUAGAAACCCCGGUAGUCCAUGCCAUAAACGAUGUUCACUAAACGUUCGUUUCCCGCGAGGGAAGUGGGUGUUGAAGCUAACGCAGUAAGUGAACCGCCUGGGGAGUACGGUCGCAAGGCUAAA